AUGCCUUAAACUUAAGAGUAAUGCAAAUAAUGAUUCAAUGUGAUGCCCAAGUCCUCACUGCUAAUGUGAGAUGAAUUUAUGAGCGGGAAAAGGUUGCCCCUAAGAUGACCCGCCUACUUUGCAGGAUGCCUGGGAGUUAAGAUCUGCCCA